rnacentral:tRNA from 1 species
GCCCGGGUGGUGGAACUGGUAUACACGACGGACUUAAAAUCCGUUGCUUCACGGCUUGUGGGUUCGAGUCCCACCCCGGGCACCA